rnacentral:rRNA from 1 species
GACGUAGGGGACGAGCGUUGUCCGGAUUCAUUGGGCGUAAAGCGCGCGUAGGCGGUUAUGCAAGUCGGUUGUGAAAAUCCGGGGCUCAACCCCGGACCUGCAUCCGAUACUGCGUGACUAGAGGUAGGUAGGGGAGAUCGGAAUUCCUGGUGUAGCGGUGAAAUGCGCAGAUAUCAGGAGGAACACCGGUGGCGAAGGCGGCUCUCUGGGACGGUACUGACGCUGAGACGCGAAAGCGUGGGGAGCGAACAGG